GAAGCUGUAGUCAAAAAUGAUUUCUGACCUGCAAUCAGAAGGUACCCAAUUGGGUUAGCUUUA
rnacentral:tRNA from 1 species